CCCUUAGAUGUCCUGGGCUGCACGCGCGCUACACUGAUGUGUCCAGUAAGCACCUAACCUCUUCCGAAAGGAACGGGUAACCUUUGCAAAGCACAUCGUGAUGGGGAUAGAUUAUUGCAAUUAUUAGUCUUGAACGAGGAAUUCCUAGUAAGCACAAGUCAUCAGCUUGCGUCGAUUACGUCCCUGCCCUUUGUACACACCGCCCGUCGCUCCUACCGAUUGGGUGUGCUGGUGAAAUGUUCGGAUCGGCCGUUUGUCGCGGUUUCCGCGGCUCGUGGCUGAGAAGUUCAUUAAACCCUCCCACCUAGAGGAAGGAGAAGUCGUAACA
rnacentral:rRNA from 1 species